rnacentral:rRNA from 1 species
UACGUAGGGGUGCGAGCGUUAAUCGGAAUUACUGGGCGUAAAGCGUGCGCAGGCGGUCUGUUAAGACAGAUGUGAAAUCCCCGGGCUUAACCUGGGAACUGCAUUUGUGACUGGCAGGCUAGAGUAUGGCAGAGGGGGGUGGGAAUUCCACGGUGUAGCAGUGAAAUGCGUAGAGAUGUGGAGGAACACCGAUGGCGAAGGCAGCCCCCUGGGCCAAUACUGACGCUCAUGCACGAAAGCGUGGGGAGCAAACAGG